UUUUCAGCAGGGCGGUGUUGAGGAGCCUGCUUUAAACUUUGCUUUUGGCUUUACGUGAAACUAAUGCUAAGAAAUAACUCACCUCUUGGGCUGACUCAAGAGCAGUGGUUAUACAUACAGCUGACCAAGUUCCUGUUGUGAGGAGUACAGAAUGCGUCAGGUUGGACGGAACCACAGCGGGGUCACCUGGUCCGAUCUCCCUGCUCAGGCAGGGUCAUUCCAGAGCACAGGGCUGUGUCCAGACAGGUGAAGAAAACCUGCAAUGAAGGAAACUACACAGCCUCACCUGCACAGCAAAGAAGUUCUUCCUUAUGUUCAGACAGCUGAAGGCCUGUUGUAUGAACUGGUUAUAUAAAGAGAAAUCCAAACUUGUAUUAGAAAGGAAUGAUCCUCUGAGGGGAGAAAAAAGAGAUGCUUUCUUUGUAAAGAGGACACGGAGCCUAUUUUGA
rnacentral:lncRNA from 13 species